UCCACUCCCACCAUGGGAGUAGUAUACCUCCAGCCCCUUUGGCCAAUGAGUUGUUUGGAGACCAGACCUGUGCAAAGCCUUGACAUGGGCUUGGUAGCAGAGCAUGCCCACUUGAGCUUCUGUCAUUGCUGUAGGCACAGAUUCCCUCUGCAUUGCCCACUGGUUCCAAAAGAAUGAGACAGGGCAGACUUCAACCAAACCCCUGCCCAGGAGCCAAUCCAGCUGCCCAGCAGAGGCUGGCAGGGCUGCCCAAGUCAAUCUGCAGACACAGGAGUCAGAAGUAAAUCCUUAUAAUGACAGCUCAGUCUCAGUGGGAGCCCCAGGCCUCUGCUUCCAGGAUACAUCUGCAAAUUUGGACAACGUUCAGAAGCCCCAAGCUUUGGUAUCCACUGCGGGAAGUAGAAAACACUCAGAGCAUGGCUGCCCUACCUGGGAGCAUUUGGAACACAACGGCUUCUUUCAUAGCCAGGCUAAAGAAUGGAGACAGAGAGAAGAUCUGACUUCAGAAGUGCAAUAAAAGGAUUUGUUGAGAAGACCAAGCUCACACUCUGAAAGGAGAAGCACACACAGUGUUCUCAGCACACAGAGGGGUCCUGGCUGGGCCUCCACCCUCUCCCCCCACUAAGGCGCUCGUGUGACUCACCAGUCUGGCCAGGGUGGAGGGGCCACCCUCAGAUCUUUCCCGGAUCCAGAGACCUGGCACUAACCUCAGAGGAUGCUUGGUCUUCAUCCGCUGGAAGCCUGGCCUGGUAAGUACUGAUUCUGCCUCCACUGGUUUCCACAGGGCUUUCAUUUCCCCUCAGCGAGCCCUGCACGUGGCCAGGGCUGGGCUUUCUGGUCACAGAGGAGCCUUGCAAGCUGGAGACUGCUCAGACCCCCUCCCCAGAAGCCAGGCCAGGUCAGGGCAGCCCAGGGCCCCUGGUGAUGCUCGCUUGAUCUACCUGGCCCAUGACAUGUUCUCUCCUGGGAAUUCGAGGCUUGAGUGGGAGAGACAGAGUCUGGGUUUCGCUGAAAUGGAGCCACAUUCAUGGCGGUACCCUGGAGGGAAGGUUCCACUGAGGCCGCUGAGUACCACUAUUCCGCCCGGCCAUUGAGCAAGCGCCUCUGAGGCUGUGCGCUGCCCCACUAACCUCUCAUCAGUGCCCUGGAGUGAAGAGUCGCUUUGGUCGCCAGCUCAUAGGGACUGGACUUCUUGAGGAGCAGUGCAGGGACCCCUGCAGCUCUGUCUGGUCCCCAGCCGGGGUGGCUGUGCUGCCACCUGGGCUCCAGCUACUGUCCCUGCCUUCCCUUCCUCUUUUGGAUCAGGCAGUGGUGGUGGGAGCUGGUGAGAUAUUUCACUUCCUGCUCCAGGUUCUUUCUGGAGAUCACUGUCCCUGGCCUAGCUCUGGGGAAUUCCCAGCAUCACACUGUCGCACACGUCUCACCACCUCUCUGGCAAGGCCUGGCAAUCACUGGUUCUGCAGAAUGCUAAUGAGGGGUGCACAGAGGAGUCCCCUGCAGGCCCAGCGUGCUGGCUGCUUGAGUGCAGUGAUGGCACAUCUCACUGAAGGGCUUCCCGAAGGCUUUAGAGUGCCAGCCAGCUUCUAGGAGGUUGGCACGGAAGGCAGCAUUUCUGAAACAUAUCGGACCCCCGAGUCCCCUUUGUUGGGACCAACUCGUGAGACUGAUGUUCUAUGGAGCAAGCCGUGAAAGGAAUGGAAGCAGGUAGGGAGGGAUGAGGGCAGGGUGCAGGGGACACUUAGAGAGAGACUUGGAAAGGACCAAAUGGAGAGAGGGGAAAGGAUGAAUCAAAAACCGAGAAACAGGGGCACCUGGAUGCCUCAGUUGGUUAAGCGGCUGACUCUUGAUUUCUGCUCAUGUCAUGAUCUCAGGGUCGUGAGGUCGAGCCCUGUGU